rnacentral:rRNA from 1 species
AUUUAGAGGAAGGAGAAGUCGUAACAAGGUUUCCGUAGGUGAACCUGCGGAAGGAUCAUUGUCGAAACCUGCCCGGCAGAGCGACCCGCGAACCCGUUACAAAACACCGGGGGGCGAGGGCGUGCUUCUUUGCCCCCGAGCCCCUCACGCCCGGGCGCCGGCGGGCGUCGUGUCCGUCCCGCCCCCGUCGGCGGGGCGGACGCGAUGACCGGCGGCGCGCGGCGCCGACUAACGAAACCCCGGCGCGAAUCGCGCCAAGGAACUCGAACUUAAAGCGCACGGCGGGAGCCGGCCCGGCAUCUCGGUGCCCGGCGACCGGUCGUGCCCGAUCUAUUGAGAAUCUAAAACGACUCUCGGCAACGGAUAUCUCGGCUCUCGCAUCGAUGAAGAACGUAGCGAAAUGCGAUACUUGGUGUGAAUUGCAGAAUCCCGUGAACCAUCGAGUCUUUGAACGCAAGUUGCGCCCCAAGCCAUUAGGCCGAGGGCACGUCUGCCUGGGUGUCACGCAUCGUCGCCCCCCACGCCCCCGAGCCCACGGGGCUCGCGGACGAGUCGGGCGGAGAAUGGCCUCCCGUGAGCCGACGCUCGCGGUCGGCCCAAAAAGCCGGUCCCCGGCGACAAGAGCGCCACGGCUGUCGGUGGUAACGCUGCAAGCGCCCCUCGGAGCCUGUCGUGCGCGCCCUCGUCCGGGCGGACCCCAUCGAAAGACCCUAGCGCGUCGCUCGGUCGACGCUCGCGUCGCGACCCCAGGUCAGGCGGGAUCACCCGCUGAGUUUA